GCCGGGUGUGGUGGCGCACACCUGUAAUCCCAGCUACUUAGGAGGCUGAGGCAGGAGAAUCACCUGAUCCCAGGAGGCGGAGGUUGCAGUGGGCCAAGAUCGCACCAUUGCACUCCACCCUGAGGGACAGAGUGAUACUCUGUCUCAA
ensembl:misc_RNA Metazoa_SRP Metazoan signal recognition particle RNA